rnacentral:rRNA from 1 species
GAUGAACGCUGGCGGCGUGCCUAAUACAUGCAAGUCGAGCGAACGGACGAGAAGCUUGCUUUUCUGAUGUUAGCGGCGGACGGGUGAGUAACACGUGGAUAACCUACCUAUAAGACUGGGAUAACUUCGGGAAACCGGAGCUAAUACCGGAUAAUAUUUUGAACCGCAUGGUUCAAAAGUGAAAGACGGUCUUGCUGUCACUUAUAGAUGGAUCCGCGCUGCAUUAGCUAGUUGGUAAGGUAACGGCUUACCAAGGCAACGAUGCAUAGCCGACCUGAGAGGGUGAUCGGCCACACUGGAACUGAGACACGGUCCAGACUCCUACGGGAGGCAGCAGUAGGGAAUCUUCCGUAAUGGGCGAAAGCCUGACGGAGCAACGCCGCGUGAGUGAUGAAGGUCUUCGGAUCGUAAAACUCUGUUAUUAGGGAAGAACAUAUGUGUAAGUAACUGUGCACAUCUUGACGGUACCUAAUCAGAAAGCCACGGCUAACUACGUG